rnacentral:rRNA from 1 species
AUUGAACGCUGGCGGCAGGCCUAACACAUGCAAGUCGAGCGGAUGAAGGGAGCUUGCUCCUGGAUUCAGCGGCGGACGGGUGAGUAAUGCCUAGGAAUCUGCCUGGUAGUGGGGGAUAACGUCCGGAAACGGGCGCUAAUACCGCAUACGUCCUGAGGGAGAAAGUGGGGGAUCUUCGGACCUCACGCUAUCAGAUGAGCCUAGGUCGGAUUAGCUAGUUGGUGGGGUAAAGGCCUACCAAGGCGACGAUCCGUAACUGGUCUGAGAGGAUGAUCAGUCACACUGGAACUGAGACACGGUCUAGACUCCUACGGGAGGCAGCAGUGGGGAAUAUUGGACAAUGGGCGAAAGCCUGAUCCAGCCAUGCCGCGUGUGUGAAGAAGGUCUUCGGAUUGUAAAGCACCUUAAGUUGGGAGGAAGGGCAGUAAGUUAAUACCUUGCUGUUUUGACGUUACCAACAGAAUAAGCACCGGCUAACUUCGUG